ACAGCAUUUUAUCAACACCUUUGACCAGGAAUAAUGUACAAGCUACUCUUUAACUACAUUUGUAGGUUGUGAUGAACAAGGAAGUUAAGUAGCAUGUGUGGGAGGAGCUCAAUGUUUUACAUACUCUAGCAGAAAAAAAUCAGAGACAACACUGACUUACCUUAAUACAGAAACUGAUAGUCUGAACUCCAAAUAAAAACAAAAAAACAAUGCUACUCAUCUCCGCUGCUUUAAUGUUUAUCUUCAGCUACUGUAAAGCCAAUGAGAAUCCAAUCAGACCAGACGAAACAUCUGUAGUUUUUACUGAAGGAAGCAACACCACACUGUCCUGUAGAUUUGAUGGAUCACCUUAUAGUCUCCACUGGUACCGGCAGAUGCAUGGAUCAACACCAGAGUUUUUGGUGCUGAUUGUUAGGUCUAGUAAAAUUGCAAUACAGGCUACUCCACCGCAACCACAUAUGUCCAUCAGACUACAUAAUGAUAAUCAUUUGGAUCUGGAGAUCUCCUCUGCUGCAGUAACAGACUCAGCUCUGUACUACUGUGCCCUGGAGCCCACAGUGACAGGAAACCCAAAUAUACUGCCAAAUGUUGCCCCUGGUCUUUAUGAUAAUGUCUCUGCUCAAAGAGAAUGCUGAUGCAAACACAAUAACACCGCUGUCCUCAGAGAAGCAUAUUAUAGUAGGAGACAAUGUUACGCUCUUCUGUGAUUACACUGGUAUUGUUAACACCUUGCAGUGGUAUCGGCAA